CUGGCAAUGCUACUUGAUCAUUUGGAGCCCCUAAGGUGGGAAUUGUCCGGAUGCCCCAUUGGGGUGCUAGAGGGUUCUGCAUCUCAUGCUGCUCUGACUCGGCCAAACGAAAAGGAAUGCACAACCUGACUACUUGGACUCAUGUCCUCGAUGCACAAGGAUGUGAGUCCCGAUCAUCCGACGCACGAAACCCACAUAGGAGGGAUGCACAUCCCAACCC
rnacentral:lncRNA from 1 species